ACCACACGUAAGUUCGCAAGCGUGAGCUGAGGCCGCUCGCGUUGCUUUACUUGUAAAUUAUUGCGCUGCUGGCCUCAUCUUUUUGACGGAGAGCUGGUUGCCGGUGAUUUCUAGGUUCUACAUUUGCAAAUCACAGCCUUCACCGCUGCAAUGACGGGACACGGACACCACUGCCACCACGGUCCACCCCCACCGCCGCAUCACCACUGUCCCCACUGCCCGAAUCACGGCCCACCACCUCACCACCACCACCAUCAUCAUGGCCCACCACCUCACCACCAACACCAUCACCACGGACCGCCACAUCACCACCAUGGACCACCGCCGCCACCACCACCACAUCAUGAUCCACACCAUCACCACCACCACGGACCACCACCACCGCCGCCGCAUCACCACCACGGACCACCUCACCACCAUCACUGAGCUUACCCUAACCUUGUCUAGUGGAUACUAAAUGCAAAUUUUCAUUCCUUCUAUCCAUCCUCCCUGAAAUGUAGUUAUAUUCCAUAAAAAACCUAAUAGUAGGUGCUGCUAAUCACACUCUAGAAAAAUGUAUCUGACAGUGCUGUGUAAGAUUAUGUAAUUAUUGGAUCUUAAGCAAAAGCAUAAAGGGAACUUUUUGUAAUGCUAUUUCAUUUCUAAAAAUAUUGUGUCAGCAUAAUUGAAAAAAGUGCUAAAACAAUCAAUCACCCAAAGUUUGCUGUAAAACCAAUGCAGAUAACAACUAACGUUUUCAAUAUGUAAUUCGUAAAUAAACUGCUCUUCACAGUGGUUCACAAAUAUCGCUUGCAUAUACUAAGUGUUUAUAAUCAUCAAGAUUCUUACUGAAAUAUGAUCCUUGUGCAUUUGUACCAAUUAAAUUUGUACAUACCAGCUUAACAUAAAAGAUUGGUACAGUGUGUAUAGCACACAAGUCGUAUUACCUCCUGCAAUCACCAACAAUGAAAAUGUCAAGUUUUUGAUAAAGUAAUUGAGAUCAUGUUCCAACUUAUAUAAUACUGUACAUGGUAUAUGAUGGUGUACAAUCAAUGAUAAUAUCUUGUAUGUGACUACAUGCCACAAUGAAUUAAAUUAAUAAUGAAAAUACAA
rnacentral:lncRNA from 1 species